AAGCUUGGAAAUCUCCCUAAGGCUGGCUAGCCCCGCCAUGGCGGUGAACCUCGCUCUGUACUAUGCUUUCUACAGAGCACUACUGGAGAAAAGCCAUCCCAAUAAAAUUUACUUUCAUGGAAUGAAAGUAAAUCUCUGAUUGAGUUCAGAGCAUCAGCAUAGUGAAGGGCCCUCUGACUGCAGAAAUAAGCACACCAGCCAUCAGAGAACCUUGAACAUUCUACUGCAUACAUGCUUAUCCUCCGAGGCGAUCUAGAGGCUGCCGAUGGAAUGAACACACGAAUCACGGGACCACGGAAAAACAUACUAAGAGUUGAAGCCAGAUAUUCUCAGCACCCACUGACUGAAGUCUCAGGCUCCCUGGAUCUCUGGGAUGGCGGUGCCAAUGACAGUCCCCUUGAUGGAGCCUAGCAUCCUGAUCCACAGUAGAGCUAAGAACCUGGAGGCCUAUCAGAUUGCUACUUCCUAGAGAAAAGCUCUCGCUGCCUGCCUGCAGUCAGCCAGUUGGAGGAAAGGCCCUCAUUAUCUUUCCAAGUUCUGGCACUCAGACUCUAUUUCCUCUUUUGGCUUAAUACCAAACAAAAUGUGAACGGAAUAAAAAAAAUCAACAAGGCAA